UACGAAGGUGGCAAUCGUUGUUCGGAUUUACUGGGCGUACAGGGAGCGUAGGCGGUUGGGUAAGCCCUCCGUGAAAUCUCCGGGCCUAACCCGGAAAGUGCGGAGGGGACUGCUCGGCUAGAGGAUGGGAGAGGAGCGCGGAAUUCCCGGUGUAGCGGUGAAAUGCGUAGAGAUCGGGAGGAAGGCCGGUGGCGAAGGCGGCGCUCUGGAACAUUUCUGACGCUGAGGCUCGAAAGCGUGGGGAGCAAACAGG
rnacentral:rRNA from 1 species